AUUGACCGCUGGCGGCAUUCCUUACACAUGCAAGUCGAACGGCAGCACGGGUCCUUGCACCUGGUGGCGAGUGGCGAACGGGUGUGUAAUACAUCGGAACAUGUCCUGUAGUGGGGGAUAGCCCGGCGAAAGCCGGAUUAAUACCGCAUACGAUCUACGGAUGAAAGCGGGGGACCUUCGGGCCUCGCGCUUUCGGGUUGGCCGAUAGCGGAUUAGCUAGUUGGUGGGGUAAAGGCCUACCAAGGCGACGAUCAGUAGCUGGUCUGAGAGGACGACCAGCCACACUGGGACUGAGACACGGCCCAGACUCCUACGGGAGGCAGCAGUGGGGAAUUUUGGACAAUGGGCGAAAGCUUGAUCCAGCAAUGCCGCGUGUGUGAAGAAGGCCUUCGGGUUGUAAAGCACUUUUGUCCGGAAAGAAAUCCUUGGCUCUAAUACAGUCGGGGGAUGACGGUACCGGAAGAAUAAGCACCGGCUAACUACGUG
rnacentral:rRNA from 1 species